GGCUCAGGAUGAACGCUAGCUACAGGCUUAACACAUGCAAGUCGAGGGGAAACGAUAUUGGAAGCUUGCUUCCGAUAGGCGUCGACCGGCGCACGGGUGAGUAACGCGUAUCCAACCUGCCCAUCACUUGGGAAUAACCUUGCGAAAGUAAGACUAAUGCCCAAUGACAUUUAUAGAAGGCAUCUGAAAUGAAUUAAAGAUUUAUCGGUGAUGGAUGGGGAUGCGUCUGAUUAGCUUGUUGGCGGGGUAACGGCCCACCAAGGCGACGAUCAGUAGGGGUUCUGAGAGGAAGGUCCCCCACAUUGGAACUGAGACACGGUCCAAACUCCUACGGGAGGCAGCAGUGAGGAAUAUUGGUCAAUGGGCGAGAGCCUGAACCAGCCAAGUAGCGUGCAGGAAGACGGCCCUAUGGGUUGUAAACUGCUUUUAUAGGGGAAUAAAGUGAGCCACGUGUGGUUUUUGCAUGUACCCUAUGAAUAAGGACCGGCUAAUUCCGUG
rnacentral:rRNA from 1 species